CUCCGCUCUGGUAAGCUUAUGCUCUCCUCUCAAGACGCAUUAAAGCUUUCCUGCAGAAGGAUCCGAGUGUCCCGUGUAUGAUUUCUUGCUGGCGAGAAAUACAGAGAGCGCGCGGGACAUAUGGUGCUGAAACCCGGGAACAUGUGAACAUUUCCAGCACCUCGGAGACCCCUCUUACAAGGCGGAUUCAGAACUGCAGGGUGGUAAAUUCGGAGAGGAUGAAGAGAAUCCCCUGUGGAUCCCGGAAAGACUCACCCGAAGAGCCUCUUUGGACCCUCAAAAGUCGGAACUCCACCCUCUCCCCGGGAGUUGAGAGCCGCUAUUAUCCAGAUUAACUCCUGUCCUUGACGGAGGGACUGUCAUCAUGGAUUGCUUCAGCUGUCUCCUAUUUUAAGAAAAUGGGUAGAGGUGGGAUUGUUUGGUGCAGCCGUUUGCUGCGGAUUGAUGUUGCUUCUCUGGCUGGUCUGUAAGCUCAGGGCUCAAACUAAGAGAGACAAGGUGGUUAUCGCCCAAGCGCUUGUAGCUUUGGAACAAGGAAGCAAUAGGCCGCUGGCCAGACAGCUCUUGCACACCCGGAGCCUGGGCUCAUUGCACAGGGUAGAGUGCCUGGCUUGAGCAGCCCAUGAGGGAUGCUGAGCAUAGGCAUCGCACAGAGUUGCCUAUUAUACAGGCUUCUCUGGGAGGUACGUUGUCCUGCAUAAGGGUUGCCUGCCCUAGUCUCCCUUUCCCAGAAAAACGGCAGAGGACAGGUCGAGAGUGCUUCGGGUCAAGCUAACAGCCUAGUCGCGACUCCCGUACACAGUCUUAAUGUUUGAUUUUGGGAAGGUUCAACCUCUGCCUCUAUCCCUCAACAUAUGGGUGACCUAUUUGCUUGUAAAAAUAUAAAGCCUUAUCAUUAAUUAAUAAAAAAAGGGGGAUCUGUAGGGAGCCGUCCCUGCAUUCUCCAUUACAAGAUGGCGCCUGCAUCCGGCAGGCACCGAAUGUAAACAAGAUUAUUGCGCAGGCGCUGGGUAAAUUUCCAUUCCUUGAUCUCUGCCUAUUCCGUGGCGUCAUAUGGCCGGAUGAGCUGCAGCCAAUCAUGGGGUGACAUGUCCAAGGCGGCGGUUGCCCUCCUUUAUUAGGGGAUGGGCUUCUUGGUUCAGGGUCUCCGCUCUGGUAAGCUUAUGCUCUCCUCUCAAGACGCAUUAAAGCUUUCCUGCAGAAGGAUCCGAGUGUCCCGUGUAUGAUUUCUUGCUGGCGAG
rnacentral:lncRNA from 1 species